UUCAAACGGCCGCGGUAUCCUAACCGUGCAAAGGUAGCGUAAUCACUUGUCCUCUAAAUGUGGACUAGUAUGAACGGCAUCACGAAGGUUAUACUGUCUCCUCUUUCCAAUCAGUGAAACUAAUCCCCCCGUGAAGAAGCGGGGAUAAAAAUAUAAGACGAGAAGACCCUAUGGAGCUUUAAACAAAAUAGCAUUCACCACAUAAUAAAAAAUUCCAGUAAUCCUUACUCUUUAAGCAAUUUGACUAUAUGUUUUUGGUUGGGGUGACCGUGGAGCACAACACAACCUCCAUGUUGAAAGAAAUUACUAAACUAAGAGCUACACCUCUAAGUAUCAAAAUACUGACAUCCAUUGACCCAAUAAACUUGAACAACGAACCUAGUUACCCUAGGGAUAACAGCGCAAUCCACUUCAAGAGCCCCUAUCGACAAGUGGGUUUACGACCUCGAUGUUGGAUCAGGGUCUCCCAGUGGUGCAGCCGCUACUAAAGGUUCGUUUGUUCAACGAUUAAAACCCUACGUGAUC
rnacentral:rRNA from 1 species